rnacentral:rRNA from 1 species
UGCGUAGGGGGCAAGCGUUGUCCGGAUUUAUUGGGCGUAAAGAGCGUGUAGGCGGCUAUACAGGUCCGCUGUGAAAACUCGAGGCUCAACCUCGAGACGUCGGUGGAAACCGUAUGGCUAGAGUCCGGAAGAGGAGAGUGGAAUUCCUGGUGUAGCGGUGAAAUGCGCAGAUAUCAGGAAGAACACCCGUGGCGAAGGCGGCUCUCUGGGACGGUACUGACGCUGAGACGCGAAAGCGUGGGGAGCGAACAGG